AACAAACGCUGGCGGCGUGCUUAACACAUGCAAGUCGAACGAGAAAUCCUGGGCAACUGGGAGAGUAAAGUGGCGCACGGGUGAGUAGCGCGUGGGUAACCUACCCCUGGAUUGGGGAUAACUCUCCGAAAGGAGAGUUAAUACCGAAUAAUAUUCCGGUCUCUAUGGAGAUUGGAAUCAAAGGUAGCCUCUGCAUGCAAGCUACUGUCCGAGGAUGGGCCCGCGUACCAUUAGCUUGUUGGUAGGGUAACGGCCUACCAAGGCAACGAUGGUUAGCUGGUCUGAGAGGAUGGCCAGCCACACUGGAACUGAGACACGGUCCAGACUCCUACGGGUGGCAG
rnacentral:rRNA from 1 species